rnacentral:lncRNA from 1 species
CUUCCCUCUCAGCUUUUGGUAAAAGCUGAAAUGAGGAGGAAGUAGCACCUUCCUAUGGCAUUCCUUACUCUCCUGCUCUCAGGCUCAGCUCCUUUCUGACAGAACACUGAUCUGGAAAGUCUGCAGGUCCAGUCAUCACUGUUCUCCCCAAGAGGUGAGGGAGUGGGCUCUUCUCCUCACCCGGGCCCUAGCCUGGUCUCAGCUCACCUGGGCUCACCUAGGUUGUGCUGCACCUUCAGGUCCUAUGGCCCCAGUACUGGAAGAUGCAGCUUAUGACAAUUUCAGGAUAUCGUGGGCCCUCUGUGUAUGGCAGCUAUCAUCAACAAGUCAGCCUUCUGACUUUCACUCUCCUCUCCUAUAAAACAGGUGUAACAGCUGCAACUUUGUAAGAUGGACCAUGAGUAUUGUUCGUGGUAAUAAUAAUGAACUCCAUAAAGGAAGACUUAUUGUAUGCCAGGCACUGUGCUAGUUACUUUGCAUGUAUAAUCUCAUUUAUCUUAGCGAAAUUCCAUAAGUACUAUUAUUGUAUCCAUUUUAUAGAUGAGAAAUCUGAACAGAGACAGUUUUUAAAAACUGUCCCAGGUCACACAGUUAGUAAGUUGUGGAGCUAGGACUCAAAAUCAGAUCUAUCUUCAAAGCUAGUAUGCUUAGUAUUUAUAAAGUACUUCAGUCAUAAUAGGAGUAUCAGUUAUCUAACUGCUAGGAAACAGAUCAUCCCAAAACUUAGUGGCUUAAGACAACCACCAUUUAUUUAGUCCACAAUUCUGUAGGCUAACAACUUAAGCUAGGCUCAGUUGGGUGGCUCUUCCGGUCUUUGCUGGGGUCCUUCAUGAUUCUGUGGUCAGCGGCAGGUUGACGGUGGCUCUGCUUGUGUGAGUUAAUGGGAUGUGGUCUAGGGUGCCUCGCCUCUCCUCCACAUGGUGUCUCUCAUCCUCCAGCAGGCCAGCCCAGGCUUUUUCCCCAUGGCAGUGACCUAGGCUUAGACCUUGUCUCAGAGGGGAUUAGUGCUCCUGUGGUCAACCAGGGUGAUUCUCUGCCCUUCUCUCCCUGUCCCCACAGGUCCAUUUGGGAACUCAUAUGAAACACAUUCAGGAUCUUCCCUUCCAACUCUUUCUUGUCGAUCGGUGUGAGAAUCUCUUGCUGAUUAGUAUCAAGUGACUGAUGAUACUUGCGUGAGUGCCUCUAUUGCCUGCAGGUAAGACCUCCUCUUUCCAUGCCUAGAGAAUGCUGGGGAAUAUGCUGAGUGCCUUUCACCUUACCCCGCAAGGCAACUGGGAGUUUUGAAACUAAUGAGGCUGAUUGUAGUCAGAGCCACUCUGAAAGGGCCACUCUGUGAAUGUCACAGUUCUUAGAUGUCUAGAAAGACGCUUCACAAAAAUGAUACCACCUUUUGCCUACAAAAGAAAUCAGUACAGUUAACCCUUGAACAACAUGGGUUUCAACUAUGCAGGUCCACUUAUGCACAGAUUUUCUUCUACCUCUGCCACCCCUGAGACA